rnacentral:lncRNA from 1 species
UUGAACUAUUACCAAUACCUAAACCCAUAUCACAAUCAUCAAGAAAUUCAAAUUCAACAUCAUCAAAACUCGUAUCUGCAUAUUGCUGCAGUUUUUGCCUAGACAAUUCCCUACGAAAACCAACAGGCAAAUACCUAGUAACACGGGACAUAGAUGUUGCACCCAUGAUGAAUAUUAACGUGGUCUCUAAUGUUUGACUCAAAUGUUGUGUGUGGAAAAUAGAAUGAACAAUGAAUGUCUUUUUAUACAAGAUUAGAAAAAUCAUCAAAGGGUGUGACAAUAUCUCUCUAAUCGCCACGAACAUGUAAGAGUGAUUUUGGCACAACAUGUGUUGAUAGGGCCCAAUUGGUUAUAGAUUAAGAUUGUUAAUUGAGGUUUUGAGAUUUUAAGAUGAGAACAUAAUCAGCAUAUUCAAAUGAUUGAUAUAGAUUAGAGAGAAAGCUAAUAUUAUUAUGGUAAUAUAAUGUUACAGCAUGGAUCCACGUCAUUUGGUGUGCUAUUAUUUUUUCCAACCAAAACCAUGCUAAUCCACUUGGAUAUUUGCAGAACCAACGUUGCAACCUUCUUUUAGUCUUAUCCCGUUCAUAUCGGUGGGGCUUAGUUCUUUUUGUCGUUUAAUCCUAAUCCAAAAUUAACUCAUUUCUAUAAACUAACUUUUGGUAAUAGUUAGUUUCUUAAUACAAAGAAACACUCAUUCUUUGUAACAGUUUUAUUCAUCUCAAAAUUUCGAUUAUUCCAAAUUCUACUAGAAAUAUACCGAAUCAUUGUUUACUUACAGAGUGAUCAAUAGUAGUACUUACUUUUCUAGAUUUCUCUUUAACUUUGUUUGAAUAAAUUAUAUUCAUCUACUAUUUUUUUAAGACAUUCUCUUUCUAAUAUUUUCUAACAAUUGUUAAUUUAUUGAAUAAAAUCAAUAUACUCUAUCUAAAUUGAAAUAUAAGCAAAAAUGAUAAUUAAAAAUAUUGAUGCAUAUUAAUAUAUUUUUAUCUACAUAUAAUCAUUGAUUUUUCAAGUAUCAUUUUUAAUUAAAUUUUAUUUAAGAGAGAAUAGGUCUCAUACUUUUUGGUUUAGCCAUCCAAAAAACCCAACGGCGUAAUUUGUUGCCGACUUCUUUUUGGUGGUGGUCGGGAACCUUACAUACAGUAGUAUUAUCUCUAUCAAUUGAGUUAAACUUACGAAUAUUUUAUCAUUUGUUCAUAUGUAGUUAAUUUAAAGGGUAGUUAAAAAGAGAAUUUUUAUUUUUUUUAAGUUAAAAAAGAGAGUGUUAUCAAGCAAUAAUUGGAUGAUGGAUAUAUUAGUUGGACAACUUGACGAUGGUGUGCGCCGCGUCUUACAAAAGAAACCAAAUCUUUAUCUAAACAAUUCUGUUUGACUAAUUCAUAUAUUGCUAUACAAUACUUCCCUUGUUUUUGUCAUGUCUGGUUUAAUUAACGAUUUUUAACUUAUUUCUGAUCCAUGUGGCUAUUAAUUAAUAUGAUUCAGAUGGCUGUCAUAUUCAUUAUUGUAUACUUUUUCUUAAUCCAUGAGUCUUCUUUGGUGGUUGUAACGUGAAAGAGUAAGACUCUCAUGAAUCAUGAAGUAGCCUUGGAAGUUUGUUUUUUAACUAUGUUAUUUGACCUACGGGUCCAACAAAACAACUUUUAUUACGAGGCCCAUGCAUAAUGUGAAUAAGUGGGAUGUUCAAGAUUCAAACUCCGAUCCUUGUAUAUAAUAAUGCAUUGUCCUAACAUCUAUGCUCACGAGACAAAAUCUAAAUUUUCUUCACGUUUACCCGUCUAAACUAGAAAAACACAUAUAACUUUGUUGUCAUUUUAAUAUUACUAGGGUCACAUCCACUGACACUUUCUUUUAACACACCAAAUAAAAAUUGAACAUGUGUCACAUUUAUCUGUCACACUUUUUUAUUUUAAUUAACAUGUAACCUAUUGAACCUGUUUCUAAACAUUUUGAUUUUUUUAAUAAUUUAAUUUAAAAGAAGAGGUAGUGAGAUACAUCUUCUUCAAUUUCCACGAAGUGUUCUGUCUCUCCACAACGAUGUUCGCCGCUCUCUUCACGACGAUAUUCUUUCUCUCUACGACGGUGUUCGCCGCUCUCUUCGCCAUCAGCUUCGAUAGUUUAUAAUUAUGGCCCAAUCUCUAAUAUUCACGGUGAAGAGGCGUGAACCUGAAUUAAUAACUCCAUCAAAUUCCACACCUCAUGAAAUAAAAUCACUCUCAAACAUUGAUGAUCAAGAUUCAUUACGUUGGCAAGUUCCUGGGAUACAAUUUUAUAAUUAUGAUCCAAUUAUGGAAGGGAAAGACCUUGUUGAUGUUAUUAGAAAAGCAAUUGCAAAAACACUUGUACGGCUGUUCUUUUUGGCGUUUGUGUUGUGGCUAUCCCGACAUUCUGUUUUCUAUUCUUUUCUUGUGCUAGUGCUGAUGUUUUCGGCUGUUCCAGAAUUUUAUUUUAUUUUUGUUAAAAUGAAAAAGAAAGCUUAAAGUUUAAAUUCUUCUGCACGUACUUAGGUUUAGUCAUUUUUGUGAAAACAACCAGUUUAUUUUUUGACAGAGGAGAACAUGAAAAGAACGUGUUUUGGGGGAGAUUGAGCAAAGGAGAUGAAGUUAAAACCUAAUUUAGUAAUUAAAAAUAAAAUAAAUGAUUUUCAACAUUAAAUGGUUGAACAAGUUACAAGGUUAAUUGAAAUAAAAGAUUGUGACACAUGUCCAAUUUUUAUUUUGUGUGAUAAAAGAGAGUGUUACUAUGUGUGAUCCUAGCAAUUCUCUUUUUUUAAUUAAUUUAAACUUUUUUUUAGGUCUAUUUUAAGAAAACAAUAACCAAAAUAACCACAAACAACAAUUCUAGAUCUAAUCUAGAAACAAGUGUAAAGCAAAACUAUAAUCAAAGCAAAAAAUAAACAAGAUAAAGAGAGUAAAAGAAAGCAACGUCAAGAAAUGUUUACCUUGUUUGGUCCAACAAUGACCUACUAUGGGAGAGAUCGACCUCUUCAAUUCACCAUCAAUGAGUUCUUUACAAAGAGAUAGAGUUUUAAGAAAUUAGUUUCAUCAAGCUCACCAAGAACAAACCUAAUUUCUACUCAUUUCCCAAUGUCUUGCAAUGAACAAGACACUCAAUGAUUUUCACUCUACAAGGUGUUUCCCAAUUGUUUCCCAAUUCUAUAAUCCAACCCCAAAAGAGAACCAACCCUUAGCCUUUGAUUCCCAAAGAUCUUCUAUUUUGCUAUCCAUAGACUCACCCAAGUUGCUUACAAAGACUAUCUUUUGAUGUGUUUCUAAACCUCAUGAAUCUCUUUCGAAAAGGGACCAACCCUCUCCCAAGAACCCCCUCUUUUAGGUUCUCCAAGAUUCACAUCUUAAAUCUUUGAACCUCACCCAAAGACCCUCAACCUUUAGUAUCUAAAUAAAAGUUCCCUCCUUUAAUUUCCAUGAGAUUCAUCAAGCUUACUCAACAGAUGGGUCAAAUAAUGCUUAUAUAAGGUUUCAUAUACUGUCAAAUCGUUCCCCGAUUUUCUAAAAUUGUGCCACAAUUUUCCAGUUCGUACACAAUACAACUGAACAUUAUCCAACAAUGACCUACCAUGGGGAGAGAUCUACCUCUUCAAUUCACCAUCAAUGAGUUCUUUACAAAGAGUUUUAAGAAAGGGUUAAUGGUGCUUUACCCCCCUAUAAUAUAGGUCAUUUUUUGUUUUCCCCCCUGUAAAAUAUUUUUUUUGAUUUACCCCCUGUAAAAAAAAAAAAUUUAAUACAUCCCUAAUAGGUCAUAAAAAAACGAAAAAAUUCUGCAAAAAAAUAAAAUAAAAUAAAGUCGUUUUUUAUAACCUAUUAGGGGUAUUCCAAAAAAAUAAUAUUUUACAGGAGGUAAAUCAAAAAAAAUAUUUUACAGAGGGAAAACCAAAAAUGACCUAUAUUACAGGGGGUAAAGCACCAUUAACCCUUUAAGAAAUUAGUUUCAUCAAGCUCACCAAGAACAAACCUAAUUUCUACUCAUUUCCCAAUGUCUUGCAAUGAACAAGACACUCAAUAAUUUUCACUCUUACAAGGUGUUUCCCAAUUCUAUAAUCUAACUCCAAAAGAGAACCAACCAUUAGCCUUUGAUUUCCCAAAGAUCUUCUAUUUUGGUAUCCAUAGACUCACCCAAGUUGCUUACAAAGACUCUCCUUUGAUGUUUUUAUCAACCUCAUGAAUCUCUUUCGAAAAGGGACCAACCCUCUCCCAAGAACCCCCUCUUUUAGGUUCUCCAAGAUUCACAUCUUAAAGCUUUGAACCUCUCCCAAAGACCCUCAACCUUUAGUAUCUAAAUACCUUAAAAGUUCCCUCCUUUGAUUUCCAUGAGAUUCAUCAAGCUUACUCAAUAGAUGGGUCAAAUAAUGCUUAUAUAAGGUUUCAUAUCCUGACAAAUUGUUCCCCGAUUUUCUAAAAUUGUGCCACAAUUUUUCAGUUCGUACACAAUACAACUGAACAUUAUCCAAAAUUGUGCUUUGAUUUUGUCGAACCAAAAUUGUGCCACGAUUUCUCCAAAUCGUGCCACGAUUUUUCUGAAACACAAACAUCAAAUUUUGAGUCUAACUCAACAAUUAUCCACCUUGAAUCUAAAUUUAUGGUGAUGUCAAUUUAACCAUCAACCAACUUGCAUCUUAACCUUACCUUGAACUAUUCAUCAAGAUAAAACCAAUAAAUUCCAAAUUCUCGCUUGAACCUUGAUCCACACAUUGACUUUCACUUGCAUCCAACCACCCUCGGUAGACACACGAGCUUCCAAUUUUUAUUUUUCACCUUGCAUCCAACUAAACUUUGUAGUUUCGUAAGUUUUCUCACCUUUACCUCUUCAAACCUUAGAAUGUCUUACGUCCUCUUGAAGAUCUUUGCACCCAACUAUACUAGGACUUUUAGGUAGUUCCACAAGUUUACACCAUAACAUCUUCAACUCCCCCAUGGUGAUCAAAUAUGUCCUCUUGAAGAUUCACUUGUCUCUAAUUAUCAUUUGCCUUUUCAAGUAUUCCCACAAGACAUGUCAUACAUUCUUCAAAUCCCAAAAUAUCUUUCGUUCUAUUGAAGAACUCCCUUGCUCACAACUAGAGCAUAGAACCCAUGGUUUCCAUAGUCGUACCAUUAUAGUGUCUUCAACUUGUCUCCUCCUAGUCUCACUAGUGGAAGACUCCACCUCAACUUCCAAACGCGUACAUCCAUUAUGUCUUUAACCUUUGUCACUCCACCUCUAAGGUUGAUAAUGAGUAUUGUUACCUCCGCCUCUUCACACCGAACUUGACCUUUGGGAACACACACAUCACCUCCAUUACAUCACCAUCAUGACCUCCUCUCUUCAUACUUUACCUUCUUUGAACGUGCUAGGUUGCUUGACAUCACCGCCUCACCCUUCAAUUGCUUCCAUACACUUCCGUUGAACCAUGUUUGCUUCCAUCUCCAAUAUAUCAACUUUAUUUGGUACCCAUGGUGCACACUUGACAAACUUCCUCCCUUGUUUCACAUGGUGCACACUUGACAAACUUCUUCCCCAUAGUCGGUCAUAAAAUUUUUGGUGCCCUGGACAAAACAAUAAAGUUGUGCCAUUUUAAAUAUUCUAAUAUUUUUCUUCUUACAUUUUUUGUUGCAUGAGAUUCGUUUAUAAUUAAAGCUCUCUAAAAAUAUAUUUUCAAUAUAAUUAAUCAAACUGAAUUAAAAAAAAUAUAUAGUCCUAACUACUAAGUAAAAAUAAUAAUUUGAUGUCCCUAAAAUAACAGUGCCCUAGGCUUCCACCCCUCACGUCCACCCUCAGAGCCACCUCUUCCCUUAUCCCACAGUGGAUGCCAACUGAUUCCAUAACUAACUCUAGGAAGAGUGUAACUACACCAUGCUGACUUAGCAAUUCAGUUAGGGUGAUGAUGGCUCAACACUCUCACCCUAACUAACUUUAGGCGUAUACAACGUAAAAUCAAGCAAAGUACGCAUUUAUUUAUUUAUUUUCAUGUGAAAUAUACAAAAGUUUUAUUUCAAAUUCUCUGCAUCCUGUAACUAUUAUCUCUACCUUUCUUCAAUGUCCAUGACCUUUACGACCUUGAACUUAAGAAAACAAUAUUUAUUAAGUGGUAUUGACUUGAGACAUAGGAGUAUGCUUCUCUCCUUAAAGUUUCAGAUUCAAUUCUACCUAGUACCAAUUUAGAUGGGUCAAUUUAAUUUCUUUAAAAAAAAAUAUAUCUUUAUUUUUACAUAAAAAGGUACAAAUAAAUAGAGUUGAACAACAUAACAAACUGCCGCAUUCUAUACUGUUCUCAAGUCAAAUGCUACCUUAUCAAUCAACAAAAAUAUGUGUAUGUCUUAUUUGAUCUUGGGAAUUCAAAGCAGGUUCAAAGGGCCUAUGUAUUGCUAUAAAUAAUUCAUACAUUCUUAUGAAACGAUAUUCGAUUCACACCUUUCUCACUAUAGAAAUAAAUAAAUAAAACUAAACCAAAAAAAAAAACCUAUCUACCAAAAAACAAAAAAUAGUAUCAAUCUACACAACUUCAAUAGCAGUGCAAUGCAUAUCAGGAAACUUCUCUAGCAAAUCCACUGUUAACAUUGAUGCCUUUGGCUUCUGCUUUGGAUUAAUAUUCCUCUCAGAAUAUCCCAAUGAAAGUGAAUUUGUUGAAGUGUUCCUUUUAAAUGGACCUAACCAUUUAGCUUGCAUGUAUUUAUGUUUUCUCCAUGGUCCCAUGUGCAUUUUGUUUUCCUUCAAACACCUUUUAGCUGCCAUACACAUAAUCUUGAUUAUGUUACUUAAUCUCUCUGCUUUUCCUACAUAAACCUCAGGGAGUUUCCUCACAAGACGGUUAUAGUCCUCACUUGCUUUUCCCAUCUCAAAUUGUGCUCGAAAGUUUAGUUCUAUUAUCACCCUAAUAUCUCCUUUCUCUUUGCUUGUACUAUGCAGCACAUCCAAAAAUGUAUGUUCCCCUGCAUAAUUAUAAUGGCAUAGAUAUAACUGUUAGAUUUAAGUAUAUAUAACUUAAUUUCUUGAAUGGUAUAAAUAUGUUAUACAUAUAAGCAGAAAUUUGAUUCCAAUUCGCUUGUACCUAACACCUUAAUUUUUUAAUAAGAAACCCUGUUGCUUUUCAAAUACAAAUCGCACCUAAUACCUAAUACAUUCUUGUCAAUAUAGCUAAUGAUCAUGAUUAAUAAUAGUGCUACAGAAAAAGGUAAAUAGUUUAGUGAUUUAAAAAGGACUUUAAGGUCAAAAUAUCAUAUGGGACAAGUUUGUUAAAUAUUAAAAGAAAAAGUGUUACACUUUCAAAAGAGAGAGUAACUGUAACCAAAAAAAAGAAAAGAGAGAGUAACAUAUUAUAUUGAAUGAUUCUUUAAAGUGUAAAAAUUAUUAAUUAAAUUAAAUUACCUGAUGGAAGAUUAUGUGAACUUGUCCAUUUAGUAUUACAAAUGGCACUGUUAAAACCACCAUUUUGAAGGUAGCUAGAGACUUGUCUCAUGAAACAGUUUGGACAAGAUCUGGCUUCACCACUCUGUCUACUACAACAACACUCUAAUUUUGAUCUAUCUAUUUCCUCAAUUGCUUCUUUCGUUGCAUUCCUUAUGCUUAUUUCAACAGAACUUGUUCUAUAUAGGUUUGUCUGCACAAAAUAAAAACCAAUUUGGUCAACACAACACAAAAUUAACACCUAUCAAAUCAUAGUUAAGAAUUAAAAACACAAUUAUUACAUACAGACCAUGAUUAAUUACCUGCAAAAGCUGAAGUUGGUUGUCCCAAAAAUUUCUAUUCUCUUCAUUGUUACAACCUUCAUUAACCCUCUCACUAGAUUUAUCCUCCUCAUCUUCAAUAUCUAACUCCAUAUGAUUAUCAUGAUGAAACUCAUCACUACUUGAACUAUUACUAUUACCUAAACCCAUAUCACAAUCAUCAAGAAAUUCAAAUUCAACAUCACCAAGAUUUGUGUCUGCAUAUUGCUGUAGUUUUUGCCUAGACAAUUCCCU